rnacentral:rRNA from 1 species
AACGAACGCUGGCGGCGCGUCUUAAGCAUGCAAGUCGAACGGCAAGAGAGGAGCUCGCUUCUCUCCUAGAGUGGCGGACUGGUGAGGAACACGUGGGUAAUCUACCCUUAAGAUGGGGAUAGCUGCUAGAAAUAGCAGGUAAUACCGAAUACACUCGGCAUAUCACAAGAGGUGUUGAGGAAAGGAAGCUACGGCUUCGCUUGAGGAUGAGCUUGCGUCCCAUUAGCUAGUUGGUGAGGUAAAGGCCCACCAAGGCGACGAUGGGUAUCCGGCCUGAGAGGGUGAACGGACACAUUGGGACUGAGAUACGGCCCAAACUCCUACGGGAGGCAGCAGCUAAGAAUAUUCCGCAAUGGACGGAAGUCUGACGGAGCGACGCCGCGUGGAUGAAGAAGGCUGAAAAGUUGUAAAAUCCUUUUGUUGAUGAAGAAUAAGGGUGAGAGGGAAUGCUUAUCUGAUGACGGUAAUCGACGAAUAAGCCCCGGCUAAUUACGUG